UCCCUGGAGGACUAGUGGUUAGGCCACAUCACUCUCACUGCUGCAGCCGGGGUUCGAUUCCUGGACAGGGAA
rnacentral:tRNA from 1 species